rnacentral:sRNA from 1 species
UAGAUAGAAAUACGGUUGAAUGCACUGC